AAAACAUGUGAAAAAACCACAAAAAUGGUCAAAAACUUUUUAAAACCCACCAAUUUCGAUAUACUUCCACUAUACACCUCUCCUUCUUCUUUUUCGAGUCUUGUUCUCAAAAAGAAGAAGGAGAAGUGUAGAGAGGGGACCAAAAAAAGGAAGAAAAAAAACAUGAUAAAGUCAAAAAACUUGAACGAG
rnacentral:ribozyme from 14 species